rnacentral:rRNA from 1 species
CUACGGGUGGCUGCAGUGGGGAAUAUUGGGCAAUGGGCGCAAGCCUGACCCAGCAACGCCGCGUGAGGGAAGAAUGUCUUCGGAUUGUAAACCUCUGUCCUUGGGGACGAAAAAAAUGACGGUACCCAAGGAGGAAGCUCCGGCUAACUACGUGCCAGCAGCCGCGGUAAUACGUAGGGAGCGAGCGUUGUCCGGAAUUACUGGGCGUAAAGGGUGCGUAGGCGGCUAGGCAAGUCAGAUGUGAAAUACCCAGGCUUAACUUGGGGGGUGCAUUUGAAACUGCUUGGCUUGAGUGCAGGAGAGGAAAGCGGAAUUCCUAGUGUAGCGGUGAAAUGCGUAGAUAUUAGGAGGAACACCAGUGGCGAAGGCGGCUUUCUGGACUGCAACUGACGCUGAGGCACGAAAGCGUGGGGAGCAAACAGGAUUAGAUACCCCAGUAGUC